rnacentral:lncRNA from 1 species
AGAACAAGCCCUCCUUUUCUCCCCCCCCAACAGACUUGUCUUGGAAAAGAUGGAGAAGAGCCAGUAAACUUGGCUUCCUCGCUUCUGCUCAUAUGCGGGCUAAUGGUUUGAAGAUAUUGGCCUAGCAAGAUGGCCACAAGCUUAAAAACAGGAUUCCUAAGAAGUUACUUUUCUCAGACAUCUCAAACCCCCAAACGAGAGAAGAUGCUGAGGCCUGUUGCCACAAACCCGUAGAUCCGAACUUGUGAUGAUAGUCCACACAAGCUUGUGUCUAUAGGUAUGUGUCUG